rnacentral:tRNA from 1 species
GCGGGUGUAGCUCAGCUGGUUAGAGCACUAGAUUGUGAUUCUAGGGGUCGCGAGUUCGAACCUCGUCACUCGCC